CCAUGGGCCGGAAGGUGGAGCCCUUCCUCGUGACCGUGCCGGUGCCAAUCAUGAGGGGCUGCUGGUAAUCUGAAACCAGAGAGUGAGGAGAAGACCACUCGGUCUAAUACCCAAUAUUUGUUACAAUAAACAUGGAGUUUUGGAUUCUGGAAGAGACUCAGCACUCAUCCAGCCACUCCCGUUGUCUGUGUUUGUUGCUGCUGUCUCCUGAAGCCCAUGACGGGCCUUGGUCCUGCAGUCGGGCUUGGCCAGGAGACC